CCUACGGGAGGCAGCAGUGAGGAAUAUUGGUCAAUGGCCGCAGGGCUGAACCAGCCAAGUCGCGUGAGGGAUGACGGUCCUAUGGAUUGUACACCUCUUUUGUCAGGGAGUAAACGGCGCCACGUGUGUCUUUUUUCGAGUACCUGAAGAAAAAGCAUCGGCUAACUCCGUGCCCGCCUCCGCGGUACUACGGCGGAUUCGAGCGUUAUCCGGAUUUAUUGGGUUUAAGGGGUGCUCAGGCGGAGUGUCAAGUCAGCGGUAAAAUUUCGGGGCUCAACCCCGUAGUGCCGUUGAAACUGGCGUUCUUGAGUGAGCGAGAAGGAUGCGGAAUGCGUGGUGGAGCGGUGAAAUGCAUAGAUAUCACGCAGAACUCCGAGUGCGAAGGCAGCAUACCGACGCUCAACUGACGCUCAUGCACGAAAGCGUGGGUAUCGAACAGGAUUAGAUACCCGGGUAGUC
rnacentral:rRNA from 1 species